GCAAACUUGGUCAUUUAGAGGAAGUAAAAGUCGUAACAAGGUAACCGUAGGUGAACCUGCGGUUGGAUCAUUAAUAAUUAAUAUUGGGGGAGAUAUGCCUGAUAUUUUGGGUAUAUCUCUUCACCAACAACACCUUGUGAAUGUUUCCUGUAUUUUGGCAGUCCACUGAGGAUGAAUAAUUUUUUUAUUCGUCCUUUUUAAAGAAAGAAGUCACUUUUUGGUUCGAGAGAAGAGAUGAGUUUUAGUUCUGUUUUCCUCUGAACAACGUUAUCCGUCUAAACGGCUUUUGCUGGGAUAAUGUUGCAUUUGGGGGGUUUCGGGUUGCUAUGCUUAAAUCUCUCUUGGACUGAAAGUCUUUUUUCGGACUGUCAGCCGUUGAAAAACUCCAAAAUAUUUUUAUGCAUCUGACACAAAAAAGAGAAACAAUGAGAAACAACUUUAGACAACGGAUCUCUUGGCUCUCGCAUCGAUGAAGAACGCAGC
rnacentral:misc_RNA from 1 species